GGAAGGGUGGCUGAGUGGUUAAAGGCACCUGACUCGAAAUCAGACGUAGGGUCACACCUACCGUGGGUUCGAAUCCCACCCCUUCCGCCA
rnacentral:tRNA from 1 species